GUUUAAAUAGCUUAAGGAAAAGCUUUUCAUUGAAGAUGAAAAAAUGAUAAUAUUUAUCUUUAGACA
rnacentral:tRNA from 1 species